UCCGAGCCUCCCCUCCAUCUGAGGGGCAUCGUCUCGGGUGCCCAUGCCCGCUCAGUGUGCCAUAUGGGAACUUGCGCCCGCCUCCACCACCCCCCAAAACCCAACCGUGCCCCCCCUUCCUCCGCCACUUUUUUUCUUUGCUCCCCUUCAUGGCGUCUUUCUCUUCACGCUGUUGCUUUCUUUUUAGGUUUGUUUUGUUUUUCAAGCCCAUUUCUUUUUUAAGGAAUAGUCAGAUGUUGAUGGCCUUGUUGGAAUGGACCAUUAACUAAGUGGUCCUGUGCAGAACCUCCAGCAUGCUGUAACAGACGAGGGACAAGAGGAAAGGCAAGAUGUACAGAAUCAUGUGCCGGUGGUUUAACAAGCCCAACACACACACAAAAACCCUUUCUGACAAAAGCCGGUGUUACUAGCAGACAGUACCACAUGAAGACCGAGAAGAAGGUGAAACGGCCUAGCCACCAGUGCUCUGUCCUCCGCUAGACACACAGCCAUGUUAUUUCACAGAAGCCUUGACAGGAGACGAAAACGGCUGAGACUCCUCCAGCCGUAACCUGCAAAGCCCAACCAAAAGCGAACAUAAUGGAUAAUUCCUUCAGCUUGACCAAGGGAAAAAAAGUUUAAAAGUAAAAAAAAAAAAGAAAGAAAAGAAAAAAA
ensembl:lncRNA